rnacentral:rRNA from 1 species
AGGGUUCGAUUCUGGCUCAGGAUGAACGCUGGCGGCACGCUUAACACAUGCAAGUCGAACGAAGCUUACGGAAGUGCGUUUCGGACAAACGGAGGUAAGACUUAGUGGCGGACGGGUGCGUAACGCGUGGGUAACCUACCCUGGACUGGGGGAUAACGUAUAGAAAUGUACGCUAAUACCGCAUAAGCUCACGGGACCGCAUGGUCCAGUGGGAAAAGCCGAGACGGUCUAGGAUGGGCCCGCGUCUGAUUAGCUAGUUGGUGGGGUAACGGCCUACCAAGGCAACGAUCAGUAGCCGGUCUGAGAGGAUGGACGGCCACAUUGGGACUGAGACACGGCCCAAACUCCUACGGGAGGCAGCAGUGGGGAAUAUUGCACAAUGGGGGAAACCCUGAUGCAGCCGAUGCCGCGUGAAGGACGAAGUGUUUCGGCACGUAAACUUCUAUCAGCAAGGAAGAAGAAAGACAGUACUUGAGUAAGCAGCCCCGGCUAACUACGUGCCAGCCGCUGC